CAGCCCACGAGGCCCUCAGAGGUCGCGUGCAGUGAGCAGUGGUGCUGCUGUGCUGCAUUGCGUAAAGGCACCUCUUCAUGCGCAGAACCGACUGGAGGACUUGCUGGCUGCCUCAAAGAUUUACGCAAUGUAAAGACGAUAAGUACUGUGCUCACGUCCUCAUUUAUAGAAUCUCAGCACCUCCUGACAGGUGACUUACCGGGGGGCUGCACAACAAGAGAAUAACUUCAAAUAGAUUGGGAAAUAGAUCUACGAUGAAGCUGAGUAAGACAGCAAUAUCUUAACUUAGAUAGUUUAUGGUGUACUUCUGUUGUUCUGGUGAUUUCAAAUGAUUUGUGCAAUUUCUAACAUUGAGAAAUUGGAAUGACACUCGAGAGGACUGUUGUUUUUAUCAUACUGUACGUAGCCCCACUAAAGCAGGACAUUAAAUUUCAUGAAGCAUUUAACCCGUGCCCAUGGUUGGAGACAGGAGGUUCUCACUGGGGCGUGGCACCACAGAUAACCAGAUUGCGGUGUCAAGAGAUCACUUCCUGCCUGAUGACCAACAGCGUGGUGAAAGGAGUGGCAAAGGAAGCAGCUCAGUAUGACAACUGGAAACACUCCAUUGCGAAGACCUGAAAUGUGAUGUAAACAAGGGUGGAGCUGCAGAUCGGGUGUAGGACAUACUGCAAUUUUCACCCACUCGAUUGCAUUGGAUGAAAAGAAAAGGAGGUUAGGUAUUGCUCUCAAAAGAAAGGGAAGAGAUAAUCAUCACACUAACUUCAAAAAAAAAACUGAAGGAAGAAGAAAGGAGAGGCACUAGCCAGAGGAGCCUGAUGAGGUGGCUUGGGCAUCUGAUUAGGAUGCCUUCUGGACACCUACCUGGCCAGUCCGGGCAUGUCCCACCAGCAGAAAGCACUGGGGAUGACCAAGGACACGCUGGAGAGACGAUGUCUGCCAGCUGGCCUGGGUACCUCUUGGAAUCUCUCCGGAAGAGUUGGAAGAAGUGGCUGGGGAAAGGGAAGUCUGGGCUUCCCUGCUGAAGCUGCUGCUUCCG